UACGUAGGGAGCAAGCGUUGUCCGGAAUCAUUGGGCGUAAAGCGCGCGUAGGCGGCCCUGUAAGUCCGUUGUGAAAGUCAAAGGCUCAACCUUUGAAAGCCGAUGGAUACUGCAGGGCUAGAGUCCGGAAGAGGCGAGUGGAAUUCCUGGUGUAGCGGUGGAAUGCGCAGAUAUCAGGAGGAACACCAAUAGCGAAGGCAGCUCGCUGGGACGGUACUGACGCUAAGGCGCGAAAGCGUGGGGAGCGAUCCGG
rnacentral:rRNA from 1 species